UACGUAGGGUGCGAGCGUUAAUCGGAAUUACUGGGCGUAAAGGGUGCGCAGGCGGCGUCGCAAGUCAGGCGUGAAAUCCCCGGGCUUAACCUGGGAACUGCACUUGAAACUACGAUGCUGGAGUAUGGCAGAGGGAGGUGGAAUUCCGCGUGUAGCAGUGAAAUGCGUAGAUAUGCGGAGGAACACCGAUGGCGAAGGCAAUCCCCUGGGCCUGCACUGACGCUCAUGCACGAAAGCGUGGGGAGCAAACAGG
rnacentral:rRNA from 1 species